rnacentral:tRNA from 1 species
ACUUAAAUAGUUUAAAUAAAAACAUAAAUUUGUGGAGUUUAAGAUGUUAAAUAACUUUAGGUA